rnacentral:lncRNA from 1 species
GCCUAGGAAACCUAGAGUUUUGCUGGCUGAAUUUUUUACAGGCUGAAUUCAGCUGCCCCCUGACUUCACAGCUGUUCCUGCUGCCCUAAAGUGUCUGUCCCUCCAGCUCUGUCCCCUCAGCUGGGUCUGCAACGCUGAGUCUGGGAUUUUCUUAUGAAAAUGCCUGAUGGGUGGGAGGAAGAUCUGGAGUGGAGAUUCCUGUCCUGUCAUUUUACUGGCUGAGGAGUCACUCGCUACAGGCUCUUUCCCCAGAAGCUGACGGAAGAAACUCAAGCGCUGUUGUUUCUGCCCUCCCAAGUCUGCUGUCUCGGCUGCUAAUGGAUUGCUUUCCUCUGAGCUUCCACCCUGGAGAGACCCCC